UUUUUUUAAAUAAUUAUUUACGUGGACCAAUAAAAUUGUGCCAUGUGUUUAUUGUGUCCACGUAGACAAUCCGACCUGGCAGUUAACAGCUAAAUUUGGACGGAAGUGUUAAAUUGCUAACAGUUUCCUGGUUUUGGGGGUUUACCCGCACAAAUUUAGGUUUUAGGGAUUUAGUGAAACCAAAACAAAAGUAUUGGGGAUUUUGCCGCCCAAAUCGUGGUCUCUGUUUGCUCUCUGGCACCGAGAAACGUCUGGGCUUGUUUGGACAGAGGUUCAUCGGCACUGAGAAACGUUUGGGCUUAUCUGUUCGUCGGCACAAAUGACUAUUUCUUCCGCUUCUAUUUGUUUUUUCAUUUAUUAAUUGUUUGAGAUUUGAGAUUCUGAUUUUUUUUUUCUUGCUUUGAAUAUGAGAUUUAAGAUUUCAGCUUUAAUUUUAAUUUUUUUUAUGUUUGAAUCUGACAUUGAGAUGGUUUUUAAUAAAUUGUGGAUAUUGUGGUGAUGGUGGGUGGUGUUGUGUAAUGGUAGUGGUGGUGGUAUGUCACGGCAAUGGUGGUUGGUGUUGCAAGAAAUAUCUUUAUAUAUAAAAAGUGACAAUCUAAUAGAUUUUGUUGGUUGAACGAUGUUUUAAUAUUUUUUACUAUUAAUUUUAACGAAGAUUUAACAGAACUGUUAACUUAUAUCUUAUUUAAAUUAAUCGCUAAACAUUCCCAUCAUCAAUCGCUCAUCUCUCACACACUUUUCUAAUUCUGAAAACCCUACGUCAAAAAAAAAAUAAUUGAAAACCCUAAUCACAAAUUCUACGAUAAUUGCUUUUAUGUUGAAGAAGAUUUGGGUGACCAAAAGUUACCCAUUAGAAGAUGUUAUUUGUUUUCUAAAUUGUUUGAAGAAUUUACUCAGGCUUUUGGUUUAAUAUGACAGGUACAAUCGAUAAACACUAGGUUUUGGGUUUGUUGUUUCUGUUUUCUUUUUCGUAACGAUUUGUCUUGGGGUUUGUAUCGCUCCUCUGGUUUCAGAUCCUUAUCAACCCGAUAUUUAUUUUAUUGUUAAAAUUGGUGACUCCAUUUUCUCAUUGAAAUCCUAAUUUUUUUGAAAAAAUUUUCUCUCUCAAUCUCUCUCUCUUUCUCACAUAGACACACUCAGUAGCUCAUUUUGGUUGGAGGCCUGUUGUUUAUGUUUUGGGACUUUGACCUUGGAGUUGUUCGGUGUUUGGAUUGGAAAUGGUGGGAGGUAGGAGUGCUAGGCGCAAUGAGUACCCAGUGAUAUAGAGCUCCAACUUUUUUGUUGCACUCUGGGGUUUUAAGAAGAAGAAGAAGAAGUCGGAUAAGAACAAAGGCAUUGUAGAAGGAAAGAGAAGAAAAGCUUCUAACAACUUUUAAAAGUCACCUUGAACCAUUUGUUAACAAGCGUACUGACGAGUUUGUGGAAUUGGCAACUUCAGAAGCAUGACGUCUCUCAACAGUUGGUAGAACUUUUUUUUCCUCAUAAGUUUUAAUUUUUUUUAUGUUCUGUUAUUAUUAUCUUUCGAAAUUUAUUUGGAGUAAUUAUUUCUUGGUAGCUUUUGCAAAAUGUGAAAGGAAAAAUAUUGAUAGGGUACAAUAAAAUAAUGGCUCCACAAUAUUGAUAAGGUAAUUUGAUCAGGAUAUAAUGAGAAGGAAACUAUUAUGGAUUUUCCA